GACGAACGCUGGCGGCGUGCCUAAUACAUGCAAGUUGAGCGCUGAAGGUUGGUACUUGUCCCAACUGGCUGAGCAGCGAACGGGUGAGUAACGCGUGGGGAAUCUGCCUUUGAGCGGGGGACAACAUUUGGAGACGAAUGCUAAUACCGCAUAAAAACUUUAAACACAAGUUUUAAGUUUGAAAGAUGCAAUUGCAUCACUCAAAGAUGAUUCCGCGUUGUAUUAGCUAGUUGGUGAGGUAAAGGCUCACCAAGGCGAUGAUACAUAGCCGACCUGAGAGGGUGAUCGGCCACAUUGGGACUGAGACACGGCCCAAACUCCUACGGGAGGCAGCAGUAGGGAAUCUUCGGCAAUGGACGAAAGUCUGACCGAGCAACGCCGCGUGAGUGAAGAAGGGUUUCGGAUCGUAAAACUCUGUUGGUAGAGAAGAACGUUGGUGAGAGUGGAAAGCUCAUCAAGUGACGGUAACUACCCAGAAAGGGACGGCUAACUACGUG
rnacentral:rRNA from 1 species